CCACAUUCAGAAGACAAGAUUUAGACUCAAAAGCUAAGUUUAUUUUUCUCUCCUGUGUGACCCCUUUGCUGGCCUUUUUUUCUUUUUUAUCUUUUCUCUUUCUUUCAGGUAAAAGUUAUAAUUUGCCAAGAUUCUAAUUUGUGCUUUAGUUUUUCGUCAUGUCUCCUCAGCCCCUGACCAGUGCCAGGCUGCUUUAAGAGCCAAGGGGUUGAAGGUUGAACGCAUGCCAUCCACACUUUUUAACUUUGAGCCAGCUUUUAGAUGUGCUGGUUUCCCAAGUUUUGC
rnacentral:lncRNA from 1 species